CUCUAUUGCCUAAUUGAAAUGUAAUUGUUAAAUGUUUCUCCACUCAGUGUGAAACGUAGAGGCACCGCUGAGCCAGAUAAAGAGGAGGAACCGCUCCAAUACACAGAGCCCCCUGUCCAGAUCAGUAAGAGAACAGCCAAUCACAGCGCAGCACCACAAAUCAAGGAGCCUAAGAGGGAGUCGGGCUGCAGCGUGUGGAAGGGGGUCCGGCUGCUGCUGCUGCUAGCCGUGUUAGCAGCAACAGUCUACUACGCAUACUGCCGGGUGGUCAACAAUGAAGAGGAUCCUUUUGGGAUUCAAUGAUCGGAUGUUAUCAUGUCAUUUCUUCUCCAAUAGUGUCAGCAGUAGAGAGAGUGACCACAUGCCUUAAAGGCAGGAACAUUCUAGUUCUCUGUGUCACUAAGUCAGUGAAAUGAACAAAACCAGACAGAGUAUGAUCUGUGUAGGAAGAGCCUUUUGGGAGGGGAGCUAUCAGACUCCCCUCCCCCUGACCAACAACAAAUUAUUGUUUUCAAUCAUUUGUCUUUUAUAAUAAAUAUAUAUUUUUAUUGAAAUGGUGUCCCUCAAUCAUGUUUAGUUCAAUUACUGCAUUUCUGAAUGUAGAGGUGUCAUUUUGGUGGUGAAGGUUUUAUUUGUAAUAUUGAUUGGUCCAAAAUGUGAGCAGAUUGCCUGUCAAUCAUACAGGUCAUAUUGUUUGUGCUUUGUUAGGUAUUUGACAAUGCCUAAAAAAUAUCUCUGUUCGAUCCAAAUAUCCCACAAUUAAAAUAUUUUAAUAGCUUUUAAUACA